CUAGCAGCCCUCUUUCUCUCGGUCUCUGUCCUCACUCUCAUCCGACUCUCUCAACGUCUCUCUCUCUCUCACUCUCUCUCUCUCUCUCAACGUCUUUCUCUCUCCCUCUUAACUCUCAAACAGUGAAGCCGUAGUCGGUGACCACUGACCGGUGGUGACUGCCUUUGCCGUUUCCGUUUCCAUUUCCGGCUGUGAGUCGGUGAUUGUUCAACGACUGCUAUUUCUGUUCCGUUGCUGCUGCCGUUCAGCAACUCAAACGACUCAAACCCUAGAUCUACAACUGUCUCUCUUCGUUUCCGGUGACACACAACUCUCAAACGAAUAUUGAGAACUUCCAGCCAGCUCUUUCCCGGCGCUGCUGCUGCUGCUGCUGCUGCUGCUGGUUUUUCUUGUUUUCUCUUGCUGCUGGUGUAUUCUGCUUUCUGCAAAUGAAGAAGAGGAAGGAAAAAUCUCAGGUGACACAUGAGAGGAAGAAGCUGUUGACGAAACUGAGGCUCAAAGCUGAGAAGGUCGCAGCCUGUCUAAUGGAAGUAGUAUUCCAGGUGAACUGUUUUUUUUUCCCAUUUGAAUUGAAAUUUACAAGUCUCAAUAAAGUUUUAAGCAAAAAAGAUAGUUCUUUUUGCUAGUAGGCCUCAAAUUAGGAUUGAAUACUACAAACUUAAGAACAUUAGAGGCACGGAAAUGUGUGCUUUUUGGAAAGAUUUUUUUUUAGACGAAAAUCGGUUGGUGAUGUGUGUACGAAAAUCAAUGGCACAACACGGCACCGUCGGCACGAUUUAAAAAGGCACGGCAUGGCA